rnacentral:misc_RNA from 1 species
GAAAUGCGAUAAGUAAUGUGAAUUGCAGAAUUCAGUGAAUCAUCGAAUCUUUGAACGCACCUUGCGCUCCUUGGUAUUCCUUGGAGCAUGCCUGUUUGAGUAUCAUGAAAUCUUCAAAGUAAAUCUUUUGUUAACUCAAUUGGUUUCUACUUUGUUAUUGGAGGUCUUUGCAGCUUCACACCUGCUCCUCUUUGUUCAUUAGCUGGAUCUCAGUGUUAUGCUUGGUUCCACUCGGCGUGAUAAGUUAUCUAUCGCUGAGGACACUGUAAAAGGUGGCCAAGGUAAAUGCAGAUGAACCGCUUCUAAUAGUCCAUUGACUUGGACAAUACUUUUAUGAUCUGAUCUCAAAUCAGGUAGGACUACCCGCUGAACUUAAGC